GACGAACGCUGGCGGCGUGCCUAAUACAUGCAAGUCGAACGAGAGCGACCGGUGCUUGCACUGGUCAAUCUAGUGGCGAACGGGUGAGUAACACGUGGGUAACCUGCCCAUCAGAGGGGGAUAACAUUCGGAAACGGAUGCUAAAACCGCAUAGGUCUUCGAACCGCAUGGUUUGAAGAGGAAAAGAGGCGCAAGCUUCUGCUGAUGGAUGGACCCGCGGUGCAUUAGCUAGUUGGUGAGGUAACGGCUCACCAAGGCCGUGAUGCAUAGCCGACCUGAGAGGGUGAUCGGCCACAUUGGGACUGAGACACGGCCCAAACUCCUACGGGAGGCAGCAGUAGGGAAUCUUCCGCAAUGGACGCAAGUCUGACGGAGCAACGCCGCGUGAGUGAAGAAGGUUUUCGGAUCGUAAAACUCUGUUGUUAGAGAAGAACAAGUGCCAGAGUAACUGUUAGCGCCUUGACGGUAUCUAACCAGAAAG
rnacentral:rRNA from 1 species